rnacentral:rRNA from 1 species
CGGCGGACGGGUGAGUAACGCGUGGGUAACCUGCCCUAUACAGGGGGAUAACAGUUAGAAAUGAUUGCUAAUACCGCAUAAGCGCACGGAGCCGCAUGGCGCUGAGUGAAAAACGAUAGUGGUAUAGGAGGGACCCGCGUCUGAUUAGGUAGUUGGUGAGGUAACGGCCCACCAAGCCGACGAUCAGUAGCCGACCUGAGAGGGUGACCGGCCACAUUGGGACUGAGACACGGCCCAAACUCCUACGGGAGGCAGCAG